AAAAUGGGGCUUGCUGCUAGUAAACACGAGGAUUAUUAUAACUAUGCAAGCAUGAAACUACUAAAUUCUGGAAAAUGUGACAAUGAAAAUAAUGAAUAUGAUAACUAUCUUAAGGAAAAUGAUGUACAAUAUAUAGUGAAUGAAGCAAGAGAAAUAAAAAAUAGUAAUUAUAAAGAAUCUUUAGAAUUGUACUCAAAAGCUUUAUGCAUUUUAAAGAAAACAAAGGAAAAUAAUUCAAAAGUAUAUAACAAUGUUAUUGAAUUUGAUGUAAAACCACAACAAUUUGUUAGAAAUAGUAUGAUAGAUGGUAGCGCAUAUAUGAAUAACAAUAACACUAGUGUCGAAACAGUUAGUACCGAAUGUUACAGUACUGUAGAAAAUUUUAAUACGAUAAAAAAUGAUGUUUAUAAAAAAGACAAUAAAGAACAACAAAACAAGAAUAGCAGUUUACAUUAUCAUAAUAUAAAUAAUGAUAAUAACAAAAUACCAAUAAAUAAACAAAUUGCCUCUUUAUAUAACGAAAUGGGAGAUCUUUGCUGCAUACAUGAUUAUUUAGAAAAGGCACUGUUUUAUUAUGACAAAGCAUGUUUAUAUAGCCCAUCAACAAUUGAUUAUACAUAUAAGAAAGGAGUGUUAUAUCAGCAAAUGAAUCAAAUUGACAAAGCUAUAGCAACAUUUAAGAUUAUAUUAGGACAUGACGUUCAUCAUGUUCCAACACUAUUUUCAAUUGGAAAUUUAUACAGAUAUAUAGAUAAUAAUAUAGCCCUUUCUUAUUUUGAAACAAUACUUAAGUUAGAACCAGAAAAUACCGAAGUAUUAUCAUUAAUAGCAUCAUGUUAUGUUAAUUUGGGAAAAAUAAAUGAAGCUAUAUCUUAUCAAAAUAAGGCUGUUCAAAUAAAUCCUUAUAAUUUUAAUCAUAAAAAAUUUGCUCAACGGUUGAUAGAAACCAAACCUUACAAUUAAAUGGGUGGUUGUUCUUAUUUUUCAUUAUUUCUAUAUAUUUUUUGCUAUUUUACUCUGAGCCUGUUAAAUUAAAACCUGUUUAAAUGUUUAUUUAUUUUGCUUGCAUGAGUUGUUUAUAUGCUUAUUUGCUUAUGUGCUUAUUUAUUUAUUUUUUUUUUUAACAUUUAUAGGAUUUAAUUUAGUUAUUGUUUUAUCACCACAUUUUGUUACCAUUUAUCAUUAUUAUUUUAUCAUUAUUUGACUAUUAUUUUAUCAUCUUCUAUACUUUUUUAAUUUUUGUUUUUUUUUUCCUGAUGUUUACAUACUCAUAAAGCGGUGUAUGUAUGUAUAGUGUAUUUAGUACAGUAUAUUAAUAAACACAGAUAUAGAUGUGCA
rnacentral:lncRNA from 1 species